UGAGACCCUAAUAUUCACCCUGCGCGAAGGCACACUACCCUUUCAAUGUCGUCCGCCUCCAACCACACCCAAACCCUUCCCACGCCGUCAGCCUCCAACCACACCCAAACCCUUCCGCUGGCAACCAUGUUAUUCGCUCACUGCCUCUGCUCUUCCGGUAUUCAUCUUCGCCUCCAAUAGAUCCGCCUCGAAGACGACAAAAACAUCACCAUAGCCGUGGCCCAGGGCAUCGUUCCCGUGCUCGUCGCCUACUCGAUUCCCCUCCGAAAUGAAGGAAAAAACCAUUGCCGCCAUUUCUAGAGUUUCCACCGUCAAAACUGCCAAAAACAUUCUCCUCGCGGAAGGCCUCCUCCUCCUCAACCACCUCCUCCAGUAGUUGAGGGUUUCAGUAGUGAAGGAAGGUGGUGUGAAGUGCUUGAAGAAUUACUGGGACUCCGGUGUUCCUAUUGCGAGUCUAGAAGUUGUGAUGGAGAUGGUGCGACAUUUGGCGGAAGGGUUUGUGCAGAGGGUGGUGGGGGUGUUGAGUUGCGAGGUGCUGGCAGUUAGGGUUUCGGCGGCGAGGGCGGUUCACGCGUUGGGGAUGAACAGUAACAAAGUGCGGAAGAAGAUGAGGGAAUUGGGAUGCGUUUCGGGUUUGAACAAGAUGUUGGAUGGGAAGGGCAUGAAGGAGAAAGAAGGUUCCACGAUGGCAUUGUCGGUGCUAUUGAUGCACCCAACGAAACAGAGGGUGUUUCGGAAGGACAAAAGAGGGGUUGUGAGCGCAGUUCAUCUCUUGAAAGAGGGCUUCUGAUUGUGCCUGUUCAAAUGGUUCUUAUUCUACUUUGUAUGUAGGCCAAAUUGGGUGAGAAAAACAAGUUCUAUUAUGAUGAGAAGCUGAAGACAUGGGUGGAAGAAGGUGCUGAACUUCCAGUUGAAGAAGCUGCUUUGACUAUUGAUUUUGGAAACAGAUAGUAAGUUCAACAACAACAGCAAACCAUCCUACACCAUCAACGAACAAGAAGACACAGAUGCAUCUCAAGAAAACAAUAUUGCAGACUCCCCUCCUUCUUCCAUUGUGCUCAACAUCGAUGGCUUAGUCACCUCCCCCACUUCUUCAUCUAAGAGAAGGAGGCCAAUACAGAAAAGGGUAGUGCAAAUCCCAAUCAAGGAGACAGAAGGGUGUAGGCUAAAAGGAGAAAGCAACACCCCACCCUCGGAUUCAUGGGCAUGGAGAAAGUAUGGGCAGAAACCCAUCAAAGGUUUGUUGCAAUUGUAAGACCUUGUUUUGUGAAGAUAAUAAUUGAGGAGAAGAAAGAUAAGUAGUGUGUGACUUUGGAGGAUCCCCACACUGAAGAUCUUAGCCAAGAAGUCAGAGGAUUCAUAUUCUCUAAAAUUCUGGUUUGUACAGCCUCACCUAUUAUUUGUUUUAGGCAUGUUGAAGUAUGCAUGGGGUUUGUUUAUUCCUGUUAAUUUGGUUUGCAAAAUUGAAGAAUUCAUCGACUAUUUAUUCCCAGAGGAAACCCAGACAACAAAUCUCAAGAUCUUGGAAGCUUCUUACAAAUGGAAAAGGAAAAAAAUUGUCUUCUGAUGAUGAUUAACAAUAUCUUGUAGCUGCUAUACCUUUAGCAUGUGUAUAUAUCGGCAAGGUUUUAUUGUUGUAUAACCGGAAAAAAUAGUAGCUUCUACAACCAUGUCAAUCACGGGCUUUUAUAGUUUAUGACAGACACAUUUGAGGAACAUUUGUCAUGCAACCGAGAUGGCCAAAAUUUUUAUUGGGAGAAUGUUGGAAAACAUAUUUAAAACAAAAAUGAUAAUUGAAACUCUUAAAUUAACUAUUUUUUUUUUGUUAGUAACAAAAAAAAAAUAAUGAAGUUAUUUGUUUUAAAAUGUACAGUAAGCCAUAGUGCUUAUCUAAUU